rnacentral:rRNA from 1 species
AUGGAGGCGGCCGGGGCGGGCGCGGAGAGGGCCGAUGCGGCGGCGGCCAAGGCCAGGGAGGACGAGGUUGCAUCCAUCAGCGAGAAGCGGCCGAUCCACCUGCGUGCCGUCACUGCAGGGAUAGCGUCGCCGUCUCCCUCUCCCCUGGUGGCACCUCCCUAUGUGGUUGAGGUUGGUCCUGGAAUGGUUGGCUUUGAGACUUUUGGUGGCAGUAUAUUCUUAUGCCGAGGAGAAGCAUUUGCAGGACGAUUAUGUGGUUAUCUGUGGCAGUGUGCUCCUAUCCUCCCCGCCUCCAUACUUCAUUUUUGGAAAACUAAUGAUUUUAAUUCCUGGAUGUCAUAG